rnacentral:sRNA from 1 species
AUAAAACUCAUUAUGUGUAAAUAACACACACAGAUCGGCACAUACACCGGGGUGCUCUCAUGCGGCUAGUUCAUGCUUUCGUUUAAAUGAAUAGUCAGCAGCCAAAGAGUCGGUGUUAUGGGAUCUGUGGAGGCACAACC